AGUCCUGAAGUGUAUAUCAUGUUGAAUUGCAAAUUCUAAGAAGCAGCUUCAAUUCUGCCGGGGCUU
rnacentral:tRNA from 1 species